rnacentral:lncRNA from 1 species
UGGUGGAGAGCAACACUAACAGUCAAGUCACUGUAAAAUAUUAAUUAUAUUCCAAUAAGUAGUUUGUAUGUAUUUUACUUGCUUGAAAAGAUGUUUUAAAAAAUUUACUUAGCCAUGGUAUUUUGACCCCUCUGCAUUUACAUUUAAUCCCUCACUAUAGACCUCUCAUUUCAAAAUUUCUAGCUACCGGUAUACUUACUCCUUAUUAUAGUAAUAAUACUCAAAUAAGUAGUUUGUAUGUAUUUAACAUGAUAGAAAAGAUGUUUUGAAAAUUUUACUUUGCCAUUGUAUUUUGACCCCACUGCAGUAUAUUGAACCCCCAUCUUCUCCCAGACUACAGACUACUCAUUUCAAAAAUUUAGCUUUACUUACUCCUUAACAUAAAACGUAAAAAUACUCCAAUAAGUAAAAAACUCCAAUAAGUAGUUUGUAUGUAUUUAACAUGAUGGAAAAGAUAUUUUGAUAAUUUACUUUGCCAUUGUAUUUUGACCCCCUACCAUGGUAUAUUGAACCCCCUACUAUACACCUUGGAUUUCAAAAAGCUGUUAUAACUCUUUAACAUAGUCAUGAUAGUUAUUAUAUUAUUUGAAAUCCAAAUUCUGUAGAAAACUCUUUUACAUAGUAAUUAUAUUCCGAUAGUAAUUAUAUUCCAAUAAGUAGUUUGUAUGUAUUUUAUUGCUUGAAAAGAUGUUUUGAAAUUUACUUAGCCAUGGUAUUUUGAUCCCCUGUGGUAUAUUAAACCC